UACGGUGGUCUUAGCGUGGGGGAAACGCCCGGUCCCAUUCCGAACCCGGAAGCUCAGCCCUACAGCGCCGAUGGUACUGCCCUGGAGACGGGGUGGGAGAGUAGGACGCCGCCGGACAACCAUUC
rnacentral:rRNA from 1 species